CACCUCAGCAGUGACAACAAGGAUCCUUUAAUCACCAGGCCACCAGAGAAUUUCUAAAAUUAAUUUCUAAAAUUAAUGUCUAUUUGUCUGUCACUGGUGCUUUUAAUCUAGUUAAAUAACCUUUAUUUUGGGGUUGAUAGAUCCAAUUUCACACUUAAAGCAGUGAUUUUCACAUGGGAUGUGGAGUUGAGUGGGAGAAUCAGAGGCUCUUCUCAAUUAUACUCAGGUGAAUUUCCCAAGAGAUUUUUUUUUUGGUUGUUGUUCUAGUUCCCCACCUCCCUUCUGCUGCCCCCGAAGUGUCUGUCUCGGUAAACAUCCUUCCCUAUCCUACCUGAGAAUCAAUGCUUAUACAGAGCUUCAACUAGUGGGAGUAGGUCUGUCCCACUCCAGUAGGAUAAAUAUUGAGAAGCACUAUUAUAUAAAAAAAUUGUUUGAACCACUACAAUGAAGAAACACAGUGUGUUCGUUAUACUUUCUAAAUGAACAAUAAUGCAUAACUGCUUUAGAAAGAGAAACACACUUCUAACAGGGUCAUUUUGAUGCUCUGAUAACCAAUCUCCCUUAGCUAGACCUCAGAUUCAUAAAAUCAUCAGUCCUGAAACUGAAGGGAGGGAGCAGUCCUUACUAUGAAGGGAGGGAGCAGUCCUUACUAUGAAGGGAGUCCUGAUUAUGAAACUAUAGGGAGGCAGUGGUCAUUCACCAUCAUCUAUCAGAUUGCCUUUAUUCGGAUGAUAACCUCAGAGAAGCUAAGCCAUUUUCUGAUGGCCAUGCAAUCAGCUAGGAGUACAGCUAGAAAGAAAAUCCAGAUCUCACUCCUGGUUAAGAACUCUUUCUCUUAGAGCAUUAUCUUUUGUUCCUAGAACAGUCCUUCUCAGUAUGUUAUCACUGUUGUCCUUCCAAAGGAAAAAAGUUAAAUUUAACAAGAGGAAACAAUUACUAAGGAAUAAAAUGUUGUUGGGUAGGCUCGGGCUUUGUGGGGCCAAAACCCACUGUACUAAGUGAUUUUGCUCCUCAAGGAGCAGAAUUGCCCAGUUGGGGCCAUAUGCUUACCAUUGAGAAGGUAAAGCCCUAAAGUGAAUUGCUCUUAUACAGCAUAUUUUGACAAACAUUUGUUUAAUGAAUUGGAUGAUGAAUGAUUUCAAAAGUUAUAAUGAUACUGCAAAUACAUUUUCUUGAUUAGAAUCAUAAAAUACCUGUGAUAUCUGAUGUAGAGAGAUACCAAUUUAUGGCUCCACUGCUAACUAGUUGGGUGAUCUCAGACAAGUUUUCUUAUCCCAGGGGAAUCUGCUCCUAUGUAACAUCUGAGAAUGUCCCUCCUAGGGUGUUUUCCCAACUGCAUCAAAGCUCCUGACCUAAAAGUCCUCUCCCGGCUUUAACAUUCUGAGCCUGUUUUUUGGUUUGUUUGAAUUCCUAAAAAUCUUAAAGGCUAAUAACAUGAUCACAAUCAGAAUCAUGCCAACUUCCGACUCUGCGUGCAUGUUGUCAGUGACUGACAUGUAGGAGCUUGAAUUAAACUCAACAACUUAAAUGUUUAACGUCCUCUGCUUUCCUAAAUAUUUUGCGAGGAGCUCUGCUAACGAGGUACACAACUAUGUUCUAGUAAUUUUUAUUCUGCUAGACUACUCAGCAGAAGUGAUUUUACAGAGCAGUAAAAUGUCCAAAGUCUAAGUGAGGAGCAGCUUUUGAUGAGGAACAGUAAAGACUGGAUAACCAGGCCCUGGAAAACCUGAAACGAUCCCAACCUGUAGUAAUGAAACACCUGCUACGUGAGGCAAGGGCUCAUUCAGCAUUAGUAAGAGCAUGUUGAUUGUAUGUGCGUUAAAUAACCAGAGAAGAUUAAAUGAAGAUUUACCUAGAGAAGAUUACCUAGAAGCUAUUUUCAAUGAUUAGAAGCAUUAUCUCUGACUGCUCCACUGGACUGUAAAGUGAUCAGCACUCCUGAGGUGGUGUUUUGCUGUUGUCAGUGUGAAUAUGCCAUGGAUUGCCUUGCCCAGAAUAUUUUAGCCAAAGAAUUGAUUUAAUCAGAAGUGAGAAAAUACAGAGAAAAAGGAAAAGAGUCAAGCAAGACAAAAUAAUAAUUAAGCCAUUCAACAAAGUCAAGGACCUUUCGUUCUUUCUCAAGGACUAUAGACAAUAUUCUGAGCCAUGUCCUUGGAGCUGUUUUGUAGGUGCUGAAGACCCCACUGGGUGGAAGAAGUUAACUAUUUGCUGACCACAAGCAUGUAGACCCCAGAUGAGUUGGAACCACAAGGUUGAUGAUGAUGACUCCGAAAUUACCUCACCACCAACCAGCAGACCACAUGCUGCUCCUUGAACACUGUAAAACUCCUCACUGUGCCUGGGUGGGGCAUGCCACAGUCUUGAGGCAUUAGCCUACUGUUUCCCUCUUUGCCUGGCAAUUAAAGCUACUCUUUGUUUCCUCCAACUGUCCCAUGUUUCUCUUCAGCUUCAGUGUACAAAGGAUGUUGUAUUUUGGAUAAAAAUCCUUUAUCAAA